GGGGGGAGCGAACGUUGUUCGGAAUCACUGGGCGUAAAGGGCGUGUAGGCGGUUUGGUAAGUGGGAUGUGAAAGCCCCCGGCUCACCCGGGGAACUGCAUCCCAAACUGCCAGACUUGAGUGCGGGAGAGGAUGGGGGAAUUCCUGGUGUAGCGGUGAAAUGCGUAGAGAUCGGGAGGAAGGCCGGUGGCGAAGGCGGCGCUCUGGAACGUUUCUGACGCUGAGGCUCGAAAGCGUGGGGAGCAAACAGGAUUAGAUACCCUGGUAGUCCACGCCUUAAACGAUGGUCACUAGCUGUCCGGACUUCGGUCUGGGUGGCUAAGCGAAAGUGAUAAGUGACCCACCUGGGGAGUACGUUCGCAAGAAUG
rnacentral:rRNA from 1 species